AAAACCCUGACGGCGAGCUCUUAUGCAAACAAGUCGAAACGGUUCCAAUUAUAUCAGGAGAUAGUGACGGAUGGGUGAGUAACGCGUAAGUAACCUGCCCUUAAGUACGGGGAUAACUCUGAGAAAUAGGAGCUAAUCCCUUAUGUGGUGAUGGAGUUAAGGCUUCAUCAUUAAAGCCUUAGGGUGCUUGAGGAUGGGCAUACAUCCGAUUAGCUAGUUGGUAGGGUAAGGGCUUACCAAAGGCGAUGAUCGGUAGCUGGUUUGAGAGGUCGGUCAGCCACACUGGGAUUGAGAUACGGCCCAGGAUACCUACGGGAGGCAGCA
rnacentral:rRNA from 1 species